rnacentral:lncRNA from 1 species
UUCACUCUCGGCUCUGCUAAUAUCCUGCUAGCAGCGGACUCUUUUAGCUUCUUUGAGCAUUCCUUCAAUGUAUUUCGGGUCGUCUGCAAUGUACGAAGACCUGUGCUCAGAGUGUUAGUUUCUUCAGAUUUGACAGAUGAAAUGGAUGUAAAAUGCUCAAUGGAAUGCCCGGUGCAUAAUAACCCCCGAAAUAACCAUUAUCAUUUAUUAGUUACUAUUUUUAUUUUAAAUACAACAAAUUUAUGAAGUAAAAGUAAUCCCAUUGUAAAAUGAGGAAAAUGAGACCGAGACGUUAAGGAGCUGAAUUUCGCACAGAUGAUAAAUGAUGGCAGUGGGAUUUGAACACAGGUAGUCCUUUUAAUUCAGUACUGUCUCCCAAAUUGUAGAUAUCCCAACAUUAUGUAGGCACAAUUAAGGAAUACGUGUUGUAGUGUAGUUGCAAACUAGGGUGGCACAUUAUUACUAAGAUGCUUGAGUAUCUAUUGAAAAUUUUAAGUACAAAAGACAUCAGAGGAGAAUUUUUUGUGGCUUUUGCAGGUUCUGAUUGUAACUGUCUCAGCUUAAGAGGCGAGGAAAUGAGAACUAAGAAGCACGUUUUUCACCUGCUGAUAAAAC